UACAGAGGGGGCAAGCGUUAUUCGGAAUUACUGGGCGUAAAGCGUGCGCAGGCGGUUUUUUAAGACAGGCGUGAAAUCCCCGGGCUUAACCUGGGAACUGCGCUUGUGACUGGAAGGCUAGAGUACGGCAGAGGGGGGUGGAAUUCCGCGUGUAGCAGUGAAAUGCGUAGAUAUGCGGAGGAACACCGAUGGCGAAGGCAAUCCCCUGGGCCUGCACUGACGCUCAUGCACGAAAGCGUGGGGAGCAAACAGG
rnacentral:rRNA from 1 species